GGCCACUAGACAAUGCUGCGUCACACCAGGGGCAGAGUUAACGCUGGUGAAACAGAGAAUAUGAAAUGGCACCGCCAAUAAGCAAGAGUAUGAUGGUGAUCAUGUCCUAAAAGAUGUGAUGAACUAUAUCAUAACAAUGUGAUGAGCAUUUGGAUUGGUGGCGUGUCAGUACAGGGGUGUAUACGACCUGGAUUGUAUGGGCUCGAACGGGGGUCCCGUGAGAGCUUCAAGUACAAGCGCCAAGUCCCAAGUGGGUAGGGUGGAAGGGCGAUAAGGGUUCAGCCUUCUUGCUCCUUUUAAAAAUCGUAUGAUCAGGUAAUUUCUGCUGAUAGGGCGAUUAUUGACGUGCGCGUGAAAGGCUGUUAUAGCGGCCACAUACACUUUCAAUGUGGAUGGCAUACGACCACUAUCAAAUCUCUCUUGAAGAAAGGCAAUUAUUGGUAUUGGAAAGUUAUAUGGGUCUUCGCCCCGCGAUACGCACCAAUUUGUGAAAAUUCUCCAUUUAUGUGCGUAAAGACGCCUCGUGGAAGGAGCUCUAGCCUCAGAGAUAGUGUUCAACACGUGCUGAGGAAGUGCAUCUGUUACUGGCAAGUCCCGUUGAGCGGCCAGACUUGAAGGCUCCAUGACUCUGGAUUUGGGUGCCAUACCAUUCCUUGUGCCUGAGAGAGGAGGUCUCUCUUCAGUGGGACAGUCCACGGGGGGGCUACCAGCAUCUCUACUAGUUCUGGGAACCACGGCUGGUUAGGCCAUUUCGGUGACACUAACAGAACAGAUUCCCUUUCCUCUCUGAUUUUGCAAAGCAUGCGAGGCAGAAGCUUCACUGGAGGAAAGGCAUACUUACGUACUUUCGGCCAGCUCUGAGCUAGUGCAUCCACUCCCAGGGGAGACAGUGUCAGUGAAUAAAACAGUGGGCAGUGAGUGUUCUCCACUGAUGCGAAGAGAUCCACCUCCACCCUGCCAAAUACACUCCAAAUCAUAUUGACUGUCAAAGGGUGUGAUCUCCACUCUCCGUGGAUCACCCUGCCCCUCAACAGUAAGUCUGCGCCGUGAUUCAGGCGUCCGGGGACAUGUACUGCCCGGAUGGAGAGGAGGUGUUGAUCUGCCCACAGAAGAAGGUCUCUUGCCAGCCGCGAGCUCACACCCCCUUGGUGAUUUAUAAACGCUACCACUAUCAUGUUGUCCGUCCUGAUGAGAACGUGACAGUGGAGAAUGUCCAGGAGAAAGCACUCGAGCGCUAGGUGUACAACAAGGAGCUCCAGACAGUUUAUGUGCCACAACUUCUCCGUAUCUGACCACGUCCCGAAGGCUGGUCAGCCGUCGCAUACGGCUCCCCAACCCGUGCUCGAUGCAUCUGUCGUAACAGUCUUUCUCCUGAUCACUUGGCCAAUAGGAAAACCUCGGCGAUACAGUGUCAUAUCGCGCCAAGGGGUCAGUGCCUUCAAGCAGUCACGCGUUACUCGUACACGCAAGGUGCCAGCGCGCCAUGCACUCUGUGGCAUGCGACUUUUCAGCCAGAGCUGAAGCGGUCGCAUAUGUAGGAAUCCUAAUUUGCACACUAUUGAGGCGGCAGCCAUCUGGCCGAGCGUCCUCUGAAAGCAAAUCAGCGGGGGAGUGUCCUAGCUUGAAGACUGCAAGAGAGCAGAUCAGUUUUUGUGUGCGCUCCUCCGACAGAAGCGCUUGCAUAUUGAUUGAAUUCAGCUUCACUCCUAAAAAGGAGAUGCUCUGGCUCGGUACCAGCAUGCUUUUUUGCAUAUUCACAGUCAGCCCUAAGCUCUGAACAUGAGCAAGAAGUCUGAGCUUGUCGCUGAGCAGCGCGCUCUUUGAUUGGGCUAAGACUAGCCAAUUGUCGAGAUAGUUCAGGAUGUGCAUUCCGCUCUGCUUUUGUGGAGAGAGAGCAGCAUCCAUGCACUUCGUAAACGUACGAGGGGCCAGGGAAAAACCAAAGGGGAGGGUGAAUUUAUACGCUAUCCCCUCAAAUGCAAAUCUCAGGAAGCGCCUGUGGCGGGGGGGUACCUGAAUGUGGAAAUAAGCAUCCUUUAAAUCCACGGAGAUAAACCAAGCUGAUGUGUGAGAGGAUUUGCUUUAGUGUAAUCAUUUUGAACGAACGCUUCGAAAGCGCGCGAUUCAGCGGUCUCAAAUCCAAGAUUGGGCGGAGUCCGCCGUCUUUCUUUGGCACCAGAAAAUGACGACUGUAGGAGCCGCUCUCACGAUCUGUAAGGGGCACUGUCUCUACAGCGCGUUUUGCGAGAAGAUUGUGUAUUUCCUCUCGCAGAACUAAGGCAUUCUGCUCCCAUACAGUGGACAUUAAACACACAGUUGAAACGGGGCAGUCUGCAGAAGAACUGAAGCGUGUAGCCAUUGUUUAUUGAUUUCAUAACCCACUCUGACACCCCUGGUAGCGUCUGCCACGCUUCUGUGAACUGUGACAGCGGGCGAGGCGGGCUGCACACUGUGACGGAUAACUCCCUGUUGGGGGGCGGGGAGUUUAAUACCACACGAGUGUGAGAAUGAGUGAUGGGGCAGAGGGGAGUUCAAUAUUGCCCUGAUAUUGAGGUGAGUUUUGUAUUUUUUUUUACUUUAUUGCACUGCAUAGUGGAACAGUCAAAACACAAACAUGACAAUCGUUCUUGCCGCCCGCAACAGGUGAACACGCACAGCGGAGCGAGCAGACUUCUUCAGUGGCUCGUCUUCGGCGCUGGGUGCAGCUUUUCUCCUCCGAGAGACAGCGUCAGGAACGCGGCUUUGAUUCCGGAGCCAGUGGCCUACCGCCUCUGUCAGGGCGGGGCCUCUGGCUCUUGGAGCCCUGACGGCACUUCGGCCACGGCUUUCUUGGCCUCACCGCCGGCUCAUGUUCGCGGUGAACAGCAGCAGAAGAGGCUUUCGGGAACUGAGGAGGAGCGGGAACAUGCAGGAGGGUUCACGUUGGGGCGUUUUGGCAGGAAGUGAUUAAUGGCCUUAGACUGUUUUUGCACUUCAACGAAGCGCUCCAUGAACGUCUCCACCGCUGCUCCAACGAGACCUGAUGGAUUCACCGGUGCAUCCAGAAGGGUCGUCUUCUCUGAGUCUUUCAACUCAGUCAGGGUAAGCCACAGGUGAUGAUCCAGCACUACAAGAUUCCCGAUGUUGCGGCCGAUCGCACGCAUUGCAGCUCUUUGAAGACUUCAGGGCCACCCUCAUCCAGAGACUUGAGAAGUUUGGCCUGAUACACCUGGAGUAUCGCCAUGACGUGCAGUGCUGAAGCUGCCUGGCCUGCUGUGGAGAAAGCCUUGCCAGCGAAGUUUGCGGUGGCGCUGCAAGGUUUAGAGGGGAGAGACGCAUUGUUUCUCACUCUCCAGUUCGCCGCAGCUGCAGGACAGAGGUGGGCAGCAACAGCUUCCUCCACGGGGGGAAGUUUAACGUACCCCACUCGGUCAGCGCAGUCCACAGAUGACAGGAGGGAGGAUACCGGAUUGUGCACGCGACUGGUGAGAGCGGCACAUUCCACGACUUAGUUAUUUCAUCGUGCACCUCCGGGAAAAGGGGGCUGGGCCUGGGCUGGUGUCCUUUUGGCCGCGGUCCGACUGGAGGUACCACUAGUCCAGACGGCUUCUGGCCAGCUCUGCAGGAGGCGCCCACUCCAAACCGAGCUCAUCCACCGCCUUGGUCCGGACGCUUAGGAGCUCGACAUCACUAUGAUGGAGGUCCCCCGCGUUGCUGCCGUGGGGCACAGUGUAAUCCAGCGGGAGCUGUUGGACCACUCCUCUCUCGCAGAUGCUGCCAUCGAAAUGGCAUCAUCUUCAUCCUGGAGGGACGGAGAUCAGCAGUCAUGAAGCGCACUGGAAGGGAACCUGCAGUAGCGCGUGGCCACUGAGCCGGCGCGAGCUCGUCACCUGAUCCACAUCGGAAGCUCGCUGCACUUUACUCCUUGGCUCAAAAGAGGCUGCAGAGGAAGAACAUGGCAAAGCUAUUUGAGCGAGUUCAUAGCCUUGGACGAUGGUAACACGGAGCCUGAGAGUCCAAAGGCUCAUAUCUCCGCAGUGGGGGCAGUCCGACCCCCCAAGCAUCGCCUUUGCAUGGGUUGCGCACUGCAGAGG